GAUGAACGCUGGCGGCGUGCCUAAUACAUGCAAGUCGAGCGAACAGAUGAGGAGCUUGCUCCUCUGACGUUAGCGGCGGACGGGUGAGUAACACGUGGAUAACCUACCUAUAAGACUGGGAUAACUUCGGGAAACCGGAGCUAAUACCGGAUAAUAUAUUGAACCGCAUGGUUCAAUAGUGAAAGACGGUUUUGCUGUCACUUAUAGAUGGAUCCGCGCCGCAUUAGCUAGUUGGUAAGGUAACGGCUUACCAAGGCAACGAUGCGUAGCCGACCUGAGAGGGUGAUCGGCCACACUGGAACUGAGACACGGUCCAGACUCCUACGGGAGGCAGCAGUAGGGAAUCUUCCGCAAUGGGCGAAAGCCUGACGGAGCAACGCCGCGUGAGUGAUGAAGGUCUUCGGAUCGUAAAACUCUGUUAUUAGGGAAGAACAAAUGUGUAAGUAACUAUGCACGUCUUGACGGUACCUAAGCAGAAAGCACGGCUAACUACGUG
rnacentral:rRNA from 1 species